rnacentral:rRNA from 1 species
AUGGCAACUACUCCCUCAGGCGAUGUCCAGGGUAGUGACGACGACGGCUCCAGAUCCGGACGGAGUCGCGGGCGGGACCUGCUUGGGGUCGACUAUGAGUCGUCCUCCUCAGAGGACAGCCCUCGCCGUCGGCUGCAGCAGUCGCCCCUACUAACGCCGGCGACGACACGUACGGCCUCUAUCUCCUUCUCCUUCUGCUUUUGUUUUAUGAUUUCUUUUUCGUUCUUGAGGUCGAGCUAUGAGCAGUGGGACGUGCAUAUUGAUUUUGAAGGGAUUAAAUACAUCAGGACAAAGUUCUUUAAGAAAGACAUAAGAUAUUACAAUCUUAUGUAUGUGCUGCUUGACAAUGGGUAUAGUUUUUCAGACUGCCUCUAUUACAUGAGCUAUGGUGGAAUAGGAUUGGAUGGUUUUAAUCUGCUUGACAGUCAGAUUAAGGUGGAUGAAAUGCUGAGGCAAUACCAGGACAUCAGGAGGAUCACAUUGUCAGUUACUAAGGGCAAGAGGCAGCAGGCAAUUGUUGUGUCUCCAGCAAAGAAGGGAAAGAGAAAGGCAGCAGAAUCAGUUCAGAUAUCUGAUGAAGAAUAUAGCAGUGAUCCUGAUAUAGUGUUUGCAGUUAGUGAAGAUGGUGUGGCCCAUAAGGAAUUUGGUGAUUAUGUUGGUUCAAGUUCAGGCAGAGGCACAGAUGAGUUUUUGUUCCUGGGCACACAGCAGAGUGUAAAUUACCAGCCCAUCCAAACUAUGCCACCUCCCCAGACAGAAGCUUAUGAUGAAUACCAUAACUCUCAGAUAGAAGACAGUGCCAAUUAUGCAGACAUGGAUCUGGAUUCAGAAAGUGAGGAGGAAAAUAGCUCUAAUGAAGAUAGUGCAGACCUGCAGUCAACUGUAGCAGAUAUGAAGAAGGCAGCACUACACUUUGAGGGUGACACAGAACCAGAGGACAUUUAUGAUGUUCCUGAGGAGCAGGAAGAGGAAGAGCACACUGAACAAGCUCCAAAUGUAGCUCAAGAAGAACAUUUCAGUGAAGAUGGAGUACUGCAGCAGCCUGUGCUUAAGAUUGGAAAAAGAGUGGGGCCAACAACAAGAACACACUCAUCAGCCAAUGAUCCAAUUGAGCCUGACUGGUUUCCCUCAGGUGAUGAGGAUGAAAAUCUUGGUUUUUUGGACUCAGAGGAUGAUGAUGGCAAUGAGCCUAUGAGUGAUGUACUUAACUUUCACAUCAAGCAGCUGAGGUCUUUCAGAUAUCACAGGAACUGCAAAGACAGGGUCAUUGCUUGGUGUGACCACAAGGACAAAGGAUGUCCUUUUUAUAUUGUUGCUUCUCAGAUCAAGAAUGAGCAAACAUUUUGUGUAAAGAAGUUUAGAGCAGAACAUACUUGUCCAACUAGUGACAAACAUAGUAAAGUGAGCUCAAAGUGGCUAGGAAGCACUAUCUUAGAGACAAUUAGAUCAGACCCAAACACAACUGUGCCAGCAUUGGUAGACAAGGCAAAGAGGAAAUUUGGAAUUGAAGUUCCAAAGAUGAUGGCAUGGAGAGCUAAAAAGGCAGCAAAGGAAAUUGUCCUAGGAGAUCAUAAGAAGCAGUACCAUAGGCCUUUCAUUGGUUUGGAUGGAUGCUUCAUAAAGCUUACAACUGGAGCACAAAUCCUAGCAGCUACAGGUAGGAUGCCAACAACAACAUGUAUCCCAUUGCUUUUGGAAUUUUAUUCCUACACAAAGCAUGGUUUUGAUGUAGCCAUGGCCAAUUUGAAGAAUGAGUGUGAGGAUGCAUGGAGGUGGUUAUCUGGUAUUCCAAUACACACAUGGGCUAGGCAUGAAAUGGACACAAAUUGCAAAACAGACCUGGUGGUUAAUAACAUAAGUGAGGUCUUCAAUAAAUAUAUCUUGGAUGUUAGAAACAAACCAAUAGUGACAAUGAUUAAUGGAAUCAAAGACAAGUUGCUAGUCAGGUUUGAUGGAAAAAGAGAAAGUGUAGCAACUUCCAGAUGGGAAAUAGCUCCAACAUAUGCAGAGAAGCUGGAGAUGAGCAAGAAAUAUCAAAGAGAUUGCAAAGCAAUUAGGGCAGGGCCUAACCUGUGGCAAGUAAGCAGUGGGCCAAAGACCUAUGCUGUGAACCUUGAGGAGCACACUUGUGGAUGCAGGAAGUGGGACAUGUCAGGGUUGCCAUGCAACCAUGGUUGCAGUGCAAUUUACAAGGCCAAGAUGCAACCUAAGGAUUUUUCAGGAAAACCUGAUAUUGAGCCUCCUGUAUUCCACAAAGAGGGCCAGAGUGGAAGAAAAGAAGAAAAGAGGAAGAAGGGAAGGGCACCAACUGCUGGUCCUGGGGCAACUAGGGCUGCUUUCUCAGCACCAAGGCCAGCAACUAGGCCUCCAUGUGGAGAAGGGACUUCUUCUGCUGCUGGUACUUCUACAUAUACAUCAACUAUUGCUGCUGCUGCUAAAAAACAGAGGUCGGUGAGAGGUGGAAGAGUUGGUGGAGCAUCAAAUGCUGCAAUAGGUUCAAGGAAGAAACCUCAGAAAUAUGGAAGACUGAAGAGCUACUUCACAGCAAGUGGAAAUGUGUGA